AACGAACGCUGGCGGCAGGCUUAACACAUGCAAGUCGAACGCCCCGCAAGGGGAGUGGCAGACGGGUGAGUAACGCGUGGGAAUCUACCCAGUUCUACGGAACAACUGAGGGAAACUUCAGCUAAUACCGUAUACGCCCUACGGGGGAAAGAUUUAUCGGAAUUGGAUGAGCCCGCGUUGGAUUAGCUAGUUGGUGGGGUAAUGGCCUACCAAGGCGACGAUCCAUAGCUGGUCUGAGAGGUUGAUCAGCCACACUGGGACUGAGACACGGCCCAGACUCCUACGGGAGGCAGCAGUGGGGAAUAUUGGACAAUGGGCGAAAGCCUGAUCCAGCCAUGCCGCGUGAGUGAUGAAGGCCCUAGGGUUGUAAAGCUCUUUCAGUGGGGAAGAUAAUGACGGUACCCACAGAAGAAGCCCCGGCUAACUUCGUGCCAGCCGCCGCAGUAAUAC
rnacentral:rRNA from 1 species